rnacentral:rRNA from 1 species
CAUGCAAGUCGAGCGGAAACGAAGAGGUGCUUGCACCUCUGGCGUCGAGCGGCGGACGGGUGAGUAAUGCUUGGGAAUAUGCCUUAUGGUGGGGGACAACAGUUGGAAACGACUGCUAAUACCGCAUAAUGUCUACGGACCAAAGUGGGGGACCUUCGGGCCUCACGCCAUAAGAUUAGCCCAAGUGGGAUUAGCUAGUUGGUGAGGUAAUGGCUCACCAAGGCGACGAUCCCUAGCUGGUUUGAGAGGAUGAUC